rnacentral:rRNA from 1 species
AGACCCGAAACCCGGUGAUCUAGCCAUGGGCAGGUUGAAGGUUGGGUAACACUAACUGGAGGACCGAACCGACUAAUGUUGAAAAAUUAGCGGAUGACCUGUGGCUGGGGGUGAAAGGCCAAUCAAACCGGGAGAUAGCUGGUUCUCCCCGAAAGCUAUUUAGGUAGCGCCUCGUGAAUUCAUCUCCGGGGGUAGAGCACUGUUUCGGCUAGGGGGCCAUCCCGGCUUACCAACCCGAUGCAAACUGCGAAUACCGGAGAAUGUUAUCACGGGAGACACACGGCGGGUGCUAACGUCCGUCGUGAAGAGGGAAACAACCCAGACCGCCAGCUAAGGUCCCAAAGUCAUGGUUAAGUGGGAAACGAUGUGGGAAGGCCCAGACAGCCAGGAUGUUGGCUUAGAAGCAGCCAUCAUUUAAAGAAAGCGUAAUAGCUCACUGGUCGAGUCGGCCUGCGCGGAAGAUGUAACGGGGCUAAACCAUGCACCGAAGCUGCGGCAGCGACACUCAGGUGUUGUUGGGUAGGGGAGCGUUCUGUAAGCCUGCGAAGGUGGCCUGUGAGGGUUGCUGGAGGUAUCAGAAGUGCGAAUGCUGACAUAAGUAACGAUAAAGCGGGUGAAAAGCCCGCUCGCCGGAAGACCAAGGGUUCCUGUCCAACGUUAAUCGGGGCAGGGUGAGUCGACCCCUAAGGCGAGGCCGAAAGGCGUAGUCGAUGGGAAACGGGUUAAUAUUCCCGUACUUGGUGUUACUGCGAAGGGGGGACGGAGAAGGCUAUGUUGGCCGGGCGACGGUUGUCCCGGUUUAAGCGUGUAGGUGUGUGUUCCAGGUAAAUCCGGUUCACUUUAACACUGAGGCGUGAUGACGAGGCACUACGGUGCUGAAGCAACAAAUGCCCUGCUUCCAGGAAAAGCCUCUAAGCAUCAGGUAACAUCAAAUCGUACCCCAAACCGACACAGGUGGUCAGGUAGAGAAUACCAAGGCGCUUGAGAGAACUCGGGUGAAGGAACUAGGCAAAAUGGUGCCGUAACUUCGGGAGAAGGCACGCUGACACGUAGGUGAAGUGAUUUACUCAUGGAGCUGAAGUCAGUCGAAGAUACCAGCUGGCUGCAACUGUUUAUUAAAAACACAGCACUGUGCAAACACGAAAGUGGACGUAUACGGUGUGACGCCUGCCCGGUGCCGGAAGGUUAAUUGAUGGGGUCAGCGCAAGCGAAGCUCCUGAUCGAAGCCCCGGUAAACGGCGGCCGUAACUAUAACGGUCCUAAGGUAGCGAAAUUCCUUGUCGGGUAAGUUCCGACCUGCACGAAUGGCGUAAUGAUGGCCAGGCUGUCUCCACCCGAGACUCAGUGAAAUUGAACUCGCUGUGAAGAUGCAGUGUACCCGCGGCAAGACGGAAAGACCCCGUGAACCUUUACUAUAGCUUGACACUGAACAUUGAGCCUUGAUGUGUAGGAUAGGUGGGAGGCUUUGAAGUGUGGACGCCAGUCUGCAUGGAGCCGACCUUGAAAUACCACCCUUUAAUGUUUGAUGUUCUAACGUGGACCCGUGAUCCGGGUUGCGGACAGUGUCUGGUGGGUAGUUUGACUGGGGCGGUCUCCUCCUAAAGAGUAACGGAGGAGCACGAAGGUUGGCUAAUCCUGGUCGGACAUCAGGAGGUUAGUGCAAUGGCAUAAGCCAGCUUGACUGCGAGCGUGACGGCGCGAGCAGGUGCGAAAGCAGGUCAUAGUGAUCCGGUGGUUCUGAAUGGAAGGGCCAUCGCUCAACGGAUAAAAGGUACUCCGGGGAUAACAGGCUGAUACCGCCCAAGAGUUCAUAUCGACGGCGGUGUUUGGCACCUCGAUGUCGGCUCAUCACAUCCUGGGGCUGAAGUAGGUCCCAAGGGUAUGGCUGUUCGCCAUUUAAAGUGGUACGCGAGCUGGGUUUAGAACGUCGUGAGACAGUUCGGUCCCUAUCUGCCGUGGGCGCUGGAGAACUGAGGGGGGCUGCUCCUAGUACGAGAGGACCGGAGUGGACGCAUCACUGGUGUUCGGGUUGUCAUGCCAAUGGCACUGCCCGGUAGCUAAAUGCGGAAGAGAUAAGUGCUGAAAGCAUCUAAGCACGAAACUUGCCCCGAGAUGAGUUCUCCCUGAGACUUUAGGUCUCCUGAAGGAACGUUGAAGACGACGACGUUGAUAGGCCGGGUGUGUAAGCGCAGCGAUGCGUUGAGCUAACCGGUACUAAUGAACCGUGAGGCUUAACCUUACA